GCAAACUUGGUCAUUUAGAGGAAGUAAAAGUCGUAACAAGGUUUCCGUAGGUGAACCUGCGGAAGGAUCAUUAACGAGUUAGGGUCUUCUAGGCCCGAUCUCCCAACCCUAUGUUUACUAAACCUAUGUUGCUUCGGCGGGCCCGUCUUUACGGCCGCCGGGGGACCGUAACAGGUCCUCUGGCCAGUGCCCGCCGGUAGCCAAAAUUUACAAAUUCUACUCCAAUCGUGUCUAAAGUCUGAGUCUUAUUCUUAAUUAAAGCAAAAACUUUCAACAACGGAUCUCUUGGUUCUGGCAUCGAUGAAGAACGCAGC
rnacentral:misc_RNA from 1 species